rnacentral:rRNA from 1 species
UACGUAGGGGGCUAGCGUUGUCCGGAAUCAUUGGGCGUAAAGCGCGUGUAGGCGGCCCGGUAAGUCCGCUGUGAAAGUCGGGGGCUCAACCCUCGAAUGCCGGUGGAUACUGUCGGGCUAGAGUACGGAAGAGGCGAGUGGAAUUCCUGGUGUAGCGGUGAAAUGCGCAGAUAUCAGGAGGAACACCCAUUGCGAAGGCAGCUCGCUGGGACGUUACUGACGCUGAGGCGCGAAAGCGUGGGGGAGCGAACAGG